UCAAGAUGGAGCGGAGCGGAGCGGAGCUGGGGGCGGCCGGCGCCAGCGCCGGGGCGCCGCGGGGAUGUAGCCUCCGUUGCUCCCGCCCGCUUCGGGGGACCGCCGCCGGCGCGGCUCCUUCGGCUGCACUGAGGCUGCUGCGGCGGCGGCCGGAGCGCGAGGCGCUGCGCGGGACCUGUUGCGUUGGGAGCUGCGGCCGCUCCAGAAAGGGAGCCUUCCACUUGAAGAAACUCUUGGGACCUGUUACUUGGGAGGAUUUAGUCUCUUGAAGCAAAGUUCUGUGACACUCAGACUCUGAUUAUGAUAGAAGUCAGUGCACUACAGAACUUUGUCUUUGGGGGCUGUAGCAGCGAAGGGGUUAAUGCAUCAGUCCUGAAAGGCUCAGGUGGACACGUCACUACAAUCUCCUUCCAAAAGGAGGUGGGAUCAGAGGACAGAAUGAAAUGGGAGUGGGAGAGCAGACCAGGGUUCACUUCAGUAACUCUGCUUUGGGCCUGAAAUAAAGACUCUGCUUUUAUAAUCUA